CAAGAAAUUUUUUUUCGGAGGAUAUAUAGGAUUUCCCGUAUGUGCCACAGUGCAAACUCUUCUCUAAACGGGCCUGAAGCCCUAGUGGCAGGAGGUUACAUAGGCCUGCGGGCUUUGCAAACUCCUACGCUCUGCGUGCAAGAAGGACGGCCCGACAGUCCAACUGGAGUGCACACAACGUCCGAAUGGAAAUCCAUCUUCCGAAAGAUGGAAAGACUAAUUAUCGCAAAUACAUUAAGAUUUGUGCACGCACUCAUGGCCAUCUAAUCCGCUUUGUCUUUCUCCUCUGCCUGCCUCUAGCCGCCGCGCUUCACCCCUGUCGCCC
rnacentral:lncRNA from 1 species